UAAGGUUCUUAACCAUCUUCACAAAAACUUACGCAAUAUCUCAAAGAAAUCAGAAGCAUCUAAAAAGAAGACGGCCCAGACUGUCCUUGUGGUUAUUGUCGUUUUUGGGAUUUCUUGGUUGCCACAUCAUGUGAUCUACCUUUGGGCAGAAUUUGGAAGUUUCCCUCUGACUAAUGCAACAUUCAUCUUCAGAAUAAUAGGACACUGCUUAGCUUACAGCAAUUCUUCUGUUAAUCCAAUUAUUUAUGCUUUUCUUUCUGAAAAUUUCAGGAAGGCUUAUAAACAGGUAUUCAAAUGCCAAAUAAAUAACAAGUCCUAUAUUAAUGAUAUAAAAAAGAACAAAAGUCAAAUUGACACACCACCAUCCACAAAUUGUACCCAAUUAUGAAAAUGUAUAUGUUGCAUAUAAUGUAAAACAUGUUUAUAAAAAUGUAACUGAAGAGAGCAAAGCACAAUCAACCAUC